rnacentral:rRNA from 1 species
UACGGGGGGGGGCAAGCGUUGUUCGGAAUUACUGGGCGUAAAGGGCUCGUAGGCGGCCAACUAAGUCGGAUGUGAAAUCCCCAGGCUUAACCUGGGAACUGCAUCCGAUACUGGAUGGCUUGAAUCCGGGAGAGGGAUGCAGAAUUCCAGGUGUAGCGGUGAAAAUGCGUAGAUAUCUGGAGGAAUACCGGUGGCGAAGGCGGCAUCCUGGACCGGCAUUGACGCUGAUGAGCGAAAGCUAGGGGAGCAAACGGGG